rnacentral:misc_RNA from 1 species
GCUGGGUCGCCGCCACUGCCUCAGUUGGGCUUGCCGCUUGAUACCGGGUGGAGGUGUACGGACUCUCUGGCCAAACGGCCAUCAAAGCUUCAUUGGAUUUACGUUGCCAUCGUGACUUAGAAAUAUAUUAUGAACUGCGGAUGUGUGUUUUAGUCGUGUUGUAACACUUAAAAAAUCUGUUCUUGACUUACUUAAUUUUGGUAGUUCACAUUAUUGAACGAAAUAUAAAGGAUAAUCAAGUCUUGAGUUGCCUAGUUAUGCAAGUGUGACAGUUGUUGGAUGUCCUUAAAGAAAGUUCUGGUGUAGUGAUCUGGCCUCCACAUCCAUCAAGGAAUGUACACCAGCCACAGAACUGACAUCGCACCAGUAGUGACCAGUUCAACGCGCGCCCAGUGAGCAGUAGGCUGCCUCCCUCCACCAGACGGGUGUUACCGACGGCAUGAAAGGAAGGCUAACGCCCUAGCAGCAGCUACAGCAGCACUAGCACCAGCAGCAGCAACAGUGAGGCGAAGAGGAUGUGGGCGGGGGUGUGGGCGGUGUGGGCGGCUGCGGUGGUGGGCGUUACAGUCUUGCCCUCCACUGUGGCGGCGCUCUCUGGACCCAACGUGUGCACCAAGCAGGAGACGUUCACAAGUUAUGUAAAUGUGUCUUAUACAAAGGCUUACAGAGUACGGACCUACACGUACUGCUUCAGUCUUCCGCCCAAAUGUUCAAAGUACAAGAUAGCUUAUAAAACUUCUUUCAAAACUCAGAGCCAAACGAAGACUCGCACAGUGGAUGUGUGCUGUUCAGGCUUCACCAGAAUACCAGCUGAUGACCGAUGCAUCCCCAUCUGCUCACAGGAUUGCAUACAUGGGGUCUGCAUCAAACCUGACGAAUGUCGGUGUGAAGCUGGAUACUCUGGGCCCAGUUGUAACAUAAGUGACUGGGAGUUUGAUUAUGACCACAUCACAGUUCACAAUGGUCUAAUUCCAUGCUCUGGUCCUGAGUGUUAUUAUUCUUGUCCUGAGGGAAAAUGGGGCAUGGGAUGUGUUCAUGACUGCCCAUGUCUACAUGAAGGAAAAUGUGAUCCAUUGUAUGGCAACUGUUCAUGCCAUGCAGGAUGGAUUGGUCCUUAUUGUGAAGAAAAGUGUCAAGGAGGAUAUUAUGGUGUGGACUGCAAGGAUCGGUGUCGAUGUCAGAACAGCGGGACAUGUGAUCAUGUGUCCGGAGCCUGUCAGUGUCCACCAGGCUGGACUGGUCCCCUCUGUGAGAAAUCUUGCCCUGAGGGAACUCAUGGCACGGCUUGCAGCAACAAGUGCCAGUGCCAGAAUGGAGGCCACUGUGAUCCAGUUACAGGAAAAUGUCGAUGUCCAUCAGGUUGGACUGGAGAUGUGUGCGCCAACCCGUGUCCUCAGGGUACGUGGGGUCAUAAUUGCUCGGAACUGUGUGACUGUUAUAAUUCUGCAACAUGUGAUCAUAUAACUGGCCGCUGUAGGUGCCCUUCUGGAUAUGUGGGUAAUAAGUGUCAAGAAGAAUGUCCUCUUGGUACUUACGGAGUCAAUUGCACUGAAAGUUGCACCUGUCGCAAUGAAGCAACGUGUUCACACAUUAGCGGACGUUGCUUUUGUAAGGAUGGGUGGCUUGGAAGCAAUUGCUCUAUUCCUGCUUGUCCUGCUAAUCAGUACGGCCCAGGUUGCUCGCAUAUAUGUUCCUGUGAAAAGGAUAAUACAGAGAGAUGUCACCCUUGGUUUGGAAUUUGUGAAUGCAAGGCAGGUUGGGCCGGGGAAACUUGCACUAGAGCAUGUCCGUUUUACAAGUUUGGAGAGAAGUGUGCAAAGAACUGUCAAUGUAGAAAUGGUGCCUUUUGUGAUCCAGUUGAUGGAAACUGUAUAUGUGCUCCAGGGUAUAAGGGAGAGCAGUGUGGUGAGCACUGUCCACAAAAUCGAUACGGGCAGAACUGUGAUUUGAAGUGUCGUUGCAAAAACUCUAUCGGCUGUUCACAUGAAUCUGGGAAGUGUAUAUGUAGACCGGGUUGGGAGGGCCAGCAGUGCUCCCUCACGUGUCCACUAAAUGCUUAUGGAGGUAAUUGUACCAAGAUAUGCGAUUGCCAGAACAAUGGCUCUUGUGACCCGGUGUCUGGCAAGUGUACAUGUGGUCCUGGACAUUUUGGGGACAAAUGUGAGAAGACUUGUAAUCAAGGCUACCACGGGAUGGAUUGUGUCAACGUCUGUGCCUGUGUUGGUCCCAAUGUUGAAGGUUGUGAUCCAGAAACUGGCAGAUGCAUAUGCAAACCAGGCUUUAGAGGUGUCAGUUGUGAGUCUCAAUGCCCUCGCGGAUUCUAUGGGGAAUCGUGUACAAAGAAAUGUGAUUGUAAGAACAAUGGAUCGUGUAACCUUCAAACGGGAAAAUGCAUAUGCGAGCGAGGGUGGCAUGGUGCUGACUGCAACACACCCUGCAGACCUACCAAAUAUGGAGUGAACUGCAACCAAGACUGCCCAUCUUGUAUUCAUGGGAAUGGCACAUGCCAUCCACAACUGGGAGAAUGUGUGUGCGCAGCUGGUUGGCAAGGUUCUCGCUGCGAUCGUACCUGCCGUCCUGGCUUGUGGGGAUUCGGCUGUGCAAAUGAAUGUAGAUGUCGAAAUGGUGCAGAGUGCAACCAUGAAACAGGAGAGUGUCUGUGUCUUCCGGGAUGGCGAGGCGGAGACUGCUCGCAGCCGUGCCCUCCUGGGACCUUUGGUUAUAACUGCCUUCAGACAUGCCAUUGUCGCAAUCAUGCGUCGUGCCGUGGCAGUGAUGGCUUUUGUGAAUGCAAGCCUGGAUGGAUGGGACCUGGGUGCACACAGACAUGCCCGGAAGGUUAUUUUGGGCGCCAGUGUUUGAAUGUUUGUAAUUGUAGUACAGAGAGGUUCAUCUGUCACCCAGUCGAAGGCUGCAAAUGCAAAUAUGGUUAUGAAGGUGACAUGUGUGAUAUUUCCAUCACAAGUCCAAUAAUAAAAGAUAAAGAUCUGGUCUUGCCUAACACCUCAGGACCAAACAAUGCUGGACUUAUUGUUGGUGUUAUCUCCAUUAUUCUUAUCACCAUGGUUAUUGCUAUUACCAUUUACUACAGGCGGAGAUUGAUGCGAUUAAAGCGAGAGUUAGCGGUGGUUCAAUACAUUGCCGACCCAGCAGCUACAGAGCGCCCCAAGUCAAUUGAGACUAAAGAGAGCACAAAACUUCGUGCUGCCAAUAAGCUCUCACAAAAGUCUGGACAACCAGUAGCCAAAAGAUGGAGUUCUAUAGCAGACCAACAUCAUUUUGAUAAUCCUGUGUAUGCCUACCAAUCUGUGAGUAAGUCACAACCAAACCUGCUUGAGAAUGGCAAUUUAAACAACGGGGUCACUAUCAAGAAUAAUCUCUCACUCAAAGAUGACAAGAAUCGAGAGUGGGAGAAGCUAGGUACCUUCACUUUCCAUGAUGAUGCUUGUAGUUUAGGAGCUGUUGGGGGUCACUAUGACGUGCCGUCAACGCUACAAAGACAAGCUCGAGUAAAAGCAUUAGAAGCAGAUGCCACAAAUCCAAAUCUCAAUAUCUAUCAUUCUAUUGAAAGUUUAAAGGAUAACAGACUUGUGGAACACGUAUAUGAUGAAAUAAAGCAACGACCACUUCCCCCAAAAGAUCCAGUGUUCACAAUAUUCAGAAGGAGUGGUUCGUGUAAGUUUGGCGCAUACUAAUUGGCAUCAGGGUGUUGUCAAGAUGUAUGCGAAGCUCCGUUCCUGUUGAGGAUGGUGAGUACGAUCACCUGACUUAUUCACGUCCAGUGGGUGAAGUGAAGCCGCACUACUACACUAUGGCAUCUCAGUUACGUCGUUCAGCAGACCAAUUGUCUGAUGAAAGCCCCACAACUGGUAGACCUCCUAUU